rnacentral:ncRNA from 2 species
GCCUGGGGUAGAGGUGCUGUAAUAAAUAGUAGGUAUAAGGAGUUUGCAGACGAUGAUUUAUACUAAAAGGUAUUAUAGCCGAAGAAAUAGAUUAUUAUGCAGUGGUUUAUUUCUGGGGAUUCAUAGAAUAUGUGAAUAACUGUCACGAAAGUGUUGAGCUACAAGGUGA